AAGGUCAUUAAACUUUUCAUGCUUUUAACUGUGUGUUUUUGUGGUAAUCUGACAAAGGAUACUUUUCUCGCGGCAUUUGCUCGCUUCGUCCGUUGACAUAGCUUCUCAUCAAAAUUAAUGAGCGAUAACAGCAAAUUCUUCAUUGUGGCCCAAAGAGCCACUGAAGACCAGUUUGUAAAUUUUGUUAAACAAGUCUCUCCUGAGAUUAUACAAAAGUGCGCUCCCCAAAGAACCAACUUUAAUUUUGUACAGUUCACUACAAUAUUAAUUCGAAUUGAAGCGGUUUUCAACUCAUGGCUACCCACAACACUCUCUCAAUUUCCUUCAGAGAUCGCAGCCCUUACCCUAGAGCAUUUUCUUAAGGAAGCUCCCAUUCUGGCCAGGCAUCUAGCCGCUAUCUUUAUUAAAACGAUGGGAAAGAAAAAAUCAAUUUUCGAUCACAAUUUUAGAGUAUAUAAGAGAUGGAAGAGUUCUGAAAAGGAUGACUGCUUGAGCUAAGCCUCCCCCUCAAUGCACUGCACUGUACGCCAAUACAUCACACUAACACAAUCCACUCAUGAAGACACCACAUACAAAUACACACAACCCUACACCACCCAUGAAGACACCACACAGCCAUACACCCAAGUCGCUACACGCCACAAGAUGACAUUACCCAACGAUCUUUCCGGACUGACCGGGAACCAUAGACUCAUCAGAUGUUGUCAUCGCCCUUACCUCUGCACCAUAGAACGGGAAUACGGAGUGACUACCUUAUCCAUACAAAAGUGAGUUCGGACAACAAUGAGCAAACAAGUGCUAGGGGCGUAAACCAGAGCCAAAGAGAGACAAACGAGCACCAGCAGCACCAGCACUUUACAGCCUAGCUGCCCAACACUACAACUAGAUUAAAAAGGAGGUACCAACGAGAUAAGCAAAGCAAUAAGUCGGAUUUCGCCCGAGUCGUACAUGUGUUGACCAAAUUAACACCCUACAUAUCCUUGACGAGUUAAAGGACAAAUUGCAGUCGACUCUUCAACUCUAGAAAUGGAGGAAAUCCUGAGAAGCUUAAUGCCUAUGUAGCUUGUCGGUGGCUUUGUACAGAGUUCCACAGAUGCAAGCGCAGAGAAAUCUCACAUAUGCCGUUGACAUUCGCUUAUUGCCUGUAAAACACUCCGACAUGCGAGCAAAAUGUAAGGAUCUACACGCUGUGUCGCGUAGGAUUGGUUCAAAAAUUAACAACGACCAGACAAUGUUAGUGAAAACAAUGGAUUCAGUUCAGAGAUAUAAUGGUCACCACAAAUCGUUUCUAUGAGAAGACUUCCGGAGAUAAGCUGUAGUUCAUUUUCAAAUAAAUAUUUUUACUAAUAGUAAGUUUUAAGUACAUUUAAAAGAUAUCAUAAUAUGUGUCAAAUAUUUGGA